UUUCGGGCUCCGCACAACGCCUUGCCUUGCGAACCCCGCCAGGCCGGGAACGGAGCAACGGUAGCAACGGCGGCGUGUGUUGCGGGCAAGUCCGAAGCCU
rnacentral:SRP_RNA from 2 species